GUAGCAAAGUCAUUUGUUUUUUAAUUGAAAACUGGAAUGAAAGAUUUAACAAAUACAUUGUUAUUUAUUUUUUAAAAUUGUAAUUUUUAGUUUGUGUAAAAAUACAUAAAUAAAUUUAAGGGACGAUAAGACCCUAAAAGCUUUAUUAUUUAAAUUUUUAUUAUUAUUUUUAUUUGAUUGUUUUAUGUUUUUUAACUGGGGCGGUUGUUUUUUUAACAAAAAUUUUUUUAACGAGUAGGAUUAAAGAUCCUUAAGAUUAGGAUAAAUUGUUUAAGUUACUUUAGGGGUAACAGCGUUAUAAUAAUAGGGAGAUCUUAUUUAUAUUAUUGAUUGCGACCUCGAUGUUGAAUUAAAUUUUUCUAUAUCAAGCAGAAAUUAUGUAUGAAAGAUAGCUCAAGUUUUUGAUUCCU
rnacentral:rRNA from 1 species